AUUAAGAGUGAAGGCUGACAUAUGAGUAGCCAGAUUGCUUUCCUAGAAACAAAUGUAUCUAUUAAAAUGAUUUAUUUGAGAUCUGAAGCAUAAUCUGGGUACAUUAUAGAUCUCAGAAGAAGUUAGGUGACAUCAGUGCAGCUCCCCAAUAAUUUAAGUUACUCCUACAUAUACUCAUUAAUCCAGAAACAGUACAUGAAAUCUCGGUCUUGCCAGAUGUCAUUAAAC